UCUUUGUAAUGUGUCAGUAGAUCUUGCUUACCCUUCACUGUGUACUCAGUCAAAUAGAAGGGAAGGAAAAAACCUGUGGCUGAGAAA
ensembl:snoRNA SNORD62 Small nucleolar RNA SNORD62